rnacentral:lncRNA from 1 species
AUAGGGAUCACGCUUUGUGGAUCAUCAGAGUACCCCUCCUUGAUUGCAACACUUCUCCGGACACUUUCUACAGCAGCUAAAACUAAAACUGCCAGGAAAGAAAGAAAUAAACCAAACCCCAUUCUCUGUUUCGUGCUGAAGUGAACAGGUUUUCCAGUCACUUUCGAUGCUAGGGGAAGAAUCACUGUACCAUAGAGGACAAGCCAAAUAAUAGCAGAGAUGACACCGAAGAGGCCAAAGGAAGCAGCAGGGAUUUCGAAGCUUGAACCAAUAUGUCGAUCCAUGGAAGUUGCUUGAAGUACUGGAAAAGAGUUAUGGCUAUGUAUGGUCGACACAACUCCUGUCGACCAGAUUGGAACAACUUUGAGCAAUGCUUUCAGCUCCUCUACUUGAUCUACGGUGCACAGACACCAAGGAUCUAUUGCUUCUCCAUCUGGGCUCAAAUCUAGCUCAGGAUCUUGUACAAUGCAAGCUUUAUUCAGAAAAUUGUUGGGGUAUUUAUUGAUGUUUAAAAAUAAGUGAAUCAUUGAAUUUUUUUUUCAAAUUUACUCUUAUGAUUUAACAACCAAUUAAUUUUUGAAAAGGUAUUAUAAGGUCAACUUUUUAUUUUUGAGGUAAAAAUGGAAAGUUGUGUUAAAUUUAUGUCUUUAAUGCUUUUACCUUAAUAUAUGUGCCAAAAUCUAAAAAUUUAUUUAUUAUGAAACAGAAAAAGUAUUUAAUAAUAUAAUAUUAUUUAUACCACCUCUUAUAUGAUUAAAUUAAUUUAUGAAUUAUAAUACCAAAAUUAUAAUUCUGAAAUAAUUUAAUCUACGGAAUAAUAUGUUUUAGCAACAGCUCAUACAAAAUCAUUACAAAAGUAAUCUCCAGAAGACUUAGGCCUCUAAUGGACAAAAUAGAUUGGUCCUUGUCAAGUUCGUUUCCUUUAGAAAUAGAUAAGGUGUAAAAGCUACAAUUGUCCAACAACAACAAUAAACUCAGUGUAUUCUGAUAAAAUGAGAUCUGAAGAGGGUAAGAUAUACGCAGUAGAGAGGUUGUUUCCGAUAGACCUCCAACUCAAGAUAAAGAAUAGUAAAUAGGGAGAUGGAUAACAUAAAAGAAAAUCAAAAAUAAGAAAUGAUAAAAAUAGUAAUCGUAGAAAUACGAAAUAUGAGAAAAUAUUGGCGACACGAAAUAAAAAAAAUAGAAACAAAGUAUUAAAUCAUUUUGGCAAAAAAGGAUAAAAUAGGUAAUCUAAUUUUGAAAAUUGACCUAGAGAAGAUAUUUGAUAAACUUGAAUGGUGAUUUAUUAGGUACACUCUUCAUUAAUUUUCCACCUAACUCAAUCAACCUCAUUAUGUCUUGCAUGUGCAUCCUUUUUCGUAUCGACCGAAAGGAAAGUGAGUCACUUAAAUUAGUACAGAGGGGUGUAUACUUUGGGGUACCAAAUCUAGCUCUGCCAAAUAUUCAGUUACGUAUUGACCUGGGAUACACACACAAAGUUGAAGAACAUAAAUGUCAUAUGAGAACAAGUUAAAGGCCACGUUUAUGUAUCAUGUCUUCAAUUUAAGUAGAUAAGAGUUUUACAUUCUAAUCUAAAACUAUUUUUGUAUUAGGCAUAUUACAUAAACAUACCUUGAACUUGGCCGCAACUAGCAUCAUGUCCUCCAUUUUUGGACGUUUAUAAGUAGUCACUUGUGUUUGUAUAAAAACACUCGCGUCCUAUAUGGCACCUACGUGAUGCCAUGCAUGUAAGACAGGUGUAUCUACUUGUUUAGCUUCUAUUCUUCAACAACAUAUCCAGUGAGUGACUACAACUUCAUUUAGAUAUAUUAGCAUCAGCCAUACUCAAUAGAAGAAAAAUAUACAUACAAAUAAGAACUUGAAUGAAUUGAUAUGAUACUAACUAUAAGUUAUUGGACCAAUUCAUGGCUUUUCUUCUUCCAUAACCUCUACCUCCUCUCCUUUACAAGGACCAUAAGCUCUACAGCAAACAAUAUAACAUAGUAUGUUUACUAGACAAACUCCUGCAUGAACCAAAUAAUAGUAGUCGUAAUGGCCCUUGUUUAUAUUGCUCGAUACCCAACUCUCUUGCCCGCCUCUUUUUGUCAACUCGUUUAUAGUAUUCAGUACGAAGCUAGCUAGUAAGCUUCCUACCGCGCCACCAACUCCUAUUAGAGCAGAAGCAACACUAGACAUGCUUUUAGGAAAUUCUGAUAUAUAAAAUUCAUUUUGGCUGGUGGCGAACAAGGCACCUGCAACGCCAGCAAUAAGAUACUGAGGAAGUAGCCAAACUGCUGACAUAGGGAUCACGCUUUGUGGAUCAUCAGAGUACCCCUCCUUGAUUGCAACACUUCUCCGGACACUUUCUACAGCAGCUAAAACUAAAACUGCCAGGAAAGAAAGAAAUAAACCAAACCCCAUUCUCUGUUUCGUGCUGAAGUGAACAGGUUUUCCAGUCACUUUCGAUGCUAGGGGAAGAAUCACUGUACCAUAGAGGACAAGCCAAAUAAUAGCAGAGAUGACACCGAAGAGGCCAAAGGAAGCAGCAGGGAUUUCGAAGCUUGAACCAAUAUGUCGAUCCAUGGAAGUUGCUUGA